AUAUGAUGAUAAAUAUUAUAAUACACAAUUUAUAUCAUCAUGUGAUCCAGAUUGUGGUUUAGGAUAUUGUAGUCAUUAUUAAAUAUGUUUGCACAAAUAUAAAUGUGAGUGUUCCACUAAUAGCAUCAAAGUUAUAUUGUGCAAGCAUUUGCAUGCUGUUACUAUGUUCGGACAAAGAAUAAAUUCUGUUUAAGAUGACGACAACAAUUUAGAAAUUAAUGAGCCAUCAACAAGUUAACUAUAAUGAAGAUGUGGGACAUUUUAUAGAUGAAACCAUUUCUAGUUCACAAAAUUUCACAUCUAUAAGCAAUGACACAGAAAAUGAUUUGGUGCAAUGUGUAAAACAAUUGAAGACUCUCAAUGCAGAAGGAAAGAGGAGAUUAUUUGCAACUAUCAAUGGAAAAUUUUCCAAACAUAGGGUCAAUGCCAAGAAGAACUAACAUCUAAGAAGUGAAAAUUGAGAAGCAAAUCUAUUUUCCAAGAAAAAAAUGAAUACAGAGACUACCAGAACUUCAUAGCAAAUAAUUUAGAACAUUGAAAUGAGAUUGACAAAAAAAUCGAGGUAAUAAAUUCUAACUGAACCAGCACAUAUAAGAGACGUACAAUGUUCAAAUGUGGAUAGAAGAACCAGUCAAUAUCAAAAUAAAAUAUGACAUACAUCCUUUACAUGAAUCAAUGAAAUCAAUUAUAAUUAAUAUAAUAUAAUUAUAUAUAAUUUUGAACAACUGUAAAUUUUCUUACAAUAAACUACUUCCUGUAUUGA